UCCGUCUGAAUGCAAGUAACGGGACAAAUAAAAGAACCCUCCUUUCUUUCCUUCGGUACCAGACGGAGCCUUUAACGGCUACAACUUUCCCAUCUCUCCCGAUAAUUCUCUCUUGCUCCCUCUACUAGAAACCCUAACUCUAACUCUCUCUCGCUUUCUCGCUCUCUCGCUCUGCGUCGUGUAAUGGCGGAUCAAUGGGAAUAUUUGCCGGAAGAGUGCUGGGAAUCGGUGUUCAAUCGCCUCGGACAUAAUCGACACUUGGAAGCCCCAUCUUUAGUCUGCAAACGGUUUCUUUCGAUCUGCAAUCGACUUCGAUCCAGUUUAACAGUAUCUGAUCCUACAGUUCUACUCCACGAAGAUAUUUCUCGUCUUAUUCGAAGAUUUCAUCUGCUAAAGCGUAUAGAUUUCGUCGAAUUUCAUGGCGAUGCGGAUCUGCUUCUCCGGGAGAUCGGGCGCUCUGGAUUGAAUCUAGAAGUCCUCAAUCUCUCGAAGCAGAGGCGUGUUCCUGUGCAAGGUAUGAAGGAGUUGGGAGCCAAGGUGAAGACUUUGAGGGUUCUGAUCUGCUCUAGACAGUGUUCCUUGCAGGACAGUGAUUUGAUUGCAAUCGCUGAUUCGUUCCCGUCACUCCAGGAACUUGAUAUUAGUUAUCCAGAGCAGGAUUUCGGUUCUUUGACUAAGAUAGAUUCUAUAGAGUAUGAAUGUGCAGUCUCAGGUUCAUUUCCAGGUACUGUAUCCGAUGUAGGGAUUGCGAUGUUGUCCUCGAAGUUUCAGAGACUCUGCAGAAUUGAUGUAUCGGGAAAUCAUUUCAUUACGGAUCGGUCUCUUCUUUCUCUUUCAUCCAAGUGUGUCUUUCUGAGAGAAAUUGCGGCUCGUGAUUGCAGCCUUAUUAGUGAAAUUGGCAUUGCUUUGGCGAUACGUCACAAUCCUCAUUUGAUUUCCUUAUCAGUAAAUGGAAGCAAGAUCCCUUCUGCUUUUUCUUCUUCAUCUUUUACUAUCGAAAGCUCUCUUAUUUGUGGGAGAGCGUUGUGCACUCUUGAUUUCUCUCAAAUGAGCAUUUCAGACGAUCUUCUUAGUUCGAUCAUCCAAGCUGGUCUUCCUUUGCUAAACCUUGCAUUAUCCCGCUGCCGAGGAUUCACAUUUGCCGGAUUAUCUUUACUUUUGUGCAAAUACUGUUCUUUAAACUACUUAGACAUAGAAGGAGCAGCUUUCCUGACCGACCAGUCCAUGUUGGAAUUAUCCCAGUAUCUUCAUGAUGUAAAGUUCAUAAACCUUAAUUCUUGCUCCAAUCUUUCAAAUUCAGCCUUCUUCUUGUUGGUGAAAGCGUGUCCUUAUCUGGAGGAAAUCAGGAUGGAGAGAACAAAUCUAGGCAAAGAAGAUUGCCCUUCCGACAUGAACUCCCAACUUCAAAACUUGAAAUUGUCUUGGAACAAGAGUCUAAGCGACAAAACCCUUCAGAAGAUAGCAAUGGUCUGUCCCAACUUAAGAUCACUUGAUAUAAGCCACUGCUGGGGUAUUACAGGAGAAGGAAUUGGGUACAUUGGGAUGAACUGCUGCGAGAUCAAAAUGUUAAAAGUGAAUGGAUGCAGCAGGCUGAGAAACCUCGGAAUGAAUUCUGGGUUUUCAAAAUUGGAAGUUCUUUAUGCUUCAGAAUCAGGAAUCGAUGAUGAUGGACUACGGAUGAUAAGACAUAGUUGUCGUUGGCUUCUGCGUUUGAACUUGGAAGGGUGUCUCGGAGUAACAGCGGAAGGAGUGAAGGAAGUAGUGACGAAUUGCAAAGCCAUAAAAGAGAUUAGCUUGAAGAAGUGUUGCAAUGUUGCUUCUGAUGUCAUACCUUGGAUGGUGAUCACAAGGCCAUCGCUGAGGAAGCUAAUCCCACCAGGUGAGUUUGUUUCCACUAAGAAGCAGAGGGAAUUUUUCUUGAGGCACGGGUGUUGGGUUGUGGACAGUUAGCCCUACUUAGUGGAAACGAUGUUUCCCAGUCUCUUCAUAGACAUCUAAUAAAAAUUGGGUGUAGAGUUUUCUCCUUCCCUAAUUUGUGAAUUUUGAAAGUAUAAUUAUCCAAUGAAUUAUACUUAGAUUGACAUUGUAUUCCAGAAUUUGCACUGCAUUAUUGGUAAAUUCUUGGAUCCUCCCAGUAAAACUUUAUUAAUACUGCCUCUUAAGGGUUCUAUCUAUCAGUCUCACUACAAUGCUGCUAUCAUUUUCCCCCUUAGGCCCCAUUUUUUGUUGGAGGAGUAUAAGGUGUUGAAGGUUGGAGGUAGUUCCCAUGUAUUAUGAGUUGAAAUAUGAAUAAUCAAAAGCAGAGAAAAUCACCAUUCAUCAUUUCAACAUUUCGUUUUGUUAUUUUUUACUAGAGAUAUUCUAGAGAGGGAAAAUGAGGAGGGAAGAACGGGGUAUAAAGAUGAAGAGGGACAGAGCAGAGCGAAGACAAUAGAAGCUCACGAAAGAAGAGAAAGAUUGAUUGAUAUAUAUGUAAAGAGGAAGGGAUCAAUAAGCAAAAUGAUCAGUUUUCCUUUGUUUUGUGAAGAAAGCUUCUCAUUUCCUAUGACAAGAAUCUCAUCUUCUUCAAAUUUUUGGGUUGGUUGCUCUGCAAUGGAGUUCUCCUUUUUGUAAUCUUUCUUUCUUCUUGCUUCUGUCGAGCAGAUUUCACAUUUUCUUUGAUGUUCUUUUAUUGGGCUCUCUCGAACCCAUUGAAUUGAAUAGUAGUUGGAAGGGGUGGUUUUGUUCCUGAUGUCUCUGCCACAACCAAAGAUCUCAUGGGAUGGAGAAGAAAACAAAGAGCCAAAGACCAGCUACAGCUCCGUAAACCGGUUUUCUCCUACAGUCAAGUAAUUGAAGGAGAUUGCGAUGUGUGAAGAUUAAAGGCGGAAGAUACAUCAGAGAAACCCGAUGGUGUGCUUAGGAAGAAAAUCACCUCUCAAGUUGAUCGGUAUGUUGGUCUAACUGAAAAGUAAUGCUUACCCAUCUCAUGGAUUUCUUCUUUUCCUUCUCUCUGCUGGGUGUUCCACAGUCGAGGUUUAGCUACUGUUUUUGUGUGUGUGUGUGUGUGAGAGAGAGAGAGAGAGAGAGAGAGAGCCUUUCAAGCUGCUCAACCACCACCACCUCCCAUUUCAAUCAUCGCCCCCAUCAAAUAACAUUGUGUCAUCUGAAAAAUGUAUUUGAAAUGGUGAAAUUUAGAUAUUUGUACCUUAUCAAAGUAGGUCAAAGUAAGGAACCAUAGCAUAUAUAUUUGAAACAUAUUCCAGUUUAUGAGAUUUUUGAAAAA